CUCAGUUUGUGGUGGAGGUCAUUGCAGUACCAUGUACUGCUAGCAGUGUUUUAGCCAAAGACUGUUAUGCUAGCUGUCUAGUCUGUGUUUUAUAAAUGUGCAAUAAGCAUAAAAAUAUGCAUUUGUAUAAGGAGUUGGCAACUUGUUCUCAUUCUGAAAAAUAAGGUAGGCCACUUGAUUUCAACAUCUGGACAAAGAGGACAGGCUAGCAUGCUGUUCAAACAGUUGGAGAUGGACAGAAGGGUGUGUUCAUAACAAAUUCAACUGUUCUGCCUUGUUAGCUAGCAAAUAGAUCCAAGUUGGCUAAACUUGAAGUAUAAAGAUUAGCUGGUUACUCACUAGCAUGUAGGCUUGCGCUUGAGAGAUUGUUUCAUGAGCCCGGUGUUCAUUUUCUAUAACGCAUGCAACAAGAAGUUAGUAAUUAUUAGUGAAUGUGCAUUAUGCAUGGUUCUGGUAAAAUUUUGUAACAAAAAGGGCCUUUUCAUAGACUGACUUGAUCGGUGAUUAUUGCAAAGAAGCAGCUUAAACUAUUUUGAUAAAAUAAUGAAAUUAUUAGUGGGUCCAAUGCAGUGGCGAUCCGUCAUUCAGGGCCGCUUGUCGGUAAAAAACACAUUUGUUUAAGCAAGUCAGUUAUGUUUUUUUUAAUGCAGUAAAUGAGGCUGAAUUAACUGUUUCGCUGCCUGACAAGGCUCCGCUGAUAGCCAGGUUUAGAGGUGGUAAGGAUCCACUCCAUGGUGCUGAAAAGAAAGCUCUGCUGUUGGGACAGUUUUCUGUAGGCCGUAACAGUUUGUGGGCACCAUUUGUCACCAUCAUAGUGCAAUUAAUGUAUUGUUUAGUGUUGUGUUGUGUAGUGGCUUUGCUGGAAUUCAUCUAAAAAAUAGUUUUUUAGUUUACAAGAUUAACAUGCUAAAAUCGCAACUGGUCCUAUGGUUGUGGAAGGCUGAUAUUUAGGGUUGCAAAGGGUCGGAAACGUUCCGGUAAAUUUUCAGAGUUUUUCUGGAAAUUGUCCUUGGGAAGUUAAUCCCAGGAAUUUUGCUUAAAAUCAUCGAAAAUGUAGUUUAUAACAGUGAACCUUUUUUUGUGGGAUACACAUAAGGCAAUUCUAGGUCUUGUGGCAUAUUUUGGUUAAACUAUCCCCAAUUCAAUGGAAUUGCAACCCUCUGCAUGCACAGUGCAUUCUUCCAUCACAUGUGCAGUGCAGUCUUCAAUCACAUGUACAUCUGAUUCUCAAGAUCUUGCGAACUAAUGAGAUGCUAUUGAGCCCACACUACUACACUGUCUGAGCCAAGGACUACAUGCUUUCUGGAAAAUGCCACGGUCACUAUCUGAUGUGUGGAGACAUUUCACUGCAGCUAAUGUAGAAGGAAAAGCUGUGUAUAUGUGCAAAUACUGUGCCAAAUCAUAUGUGAAGAAUGCAACAAAGAUGCAGAAUCAUCUGGCCAUGUGCAUAACGUUCCCUCAGAGCUCACAACAAGCAACCUCUGACCAAAGUCCCUCUACUUCUAUUCGAGGUGAAAAUUAUGAAUCAGACACCUUAUCGAUAGCAACAGCUCAUGGUCCUCCUGCAAUCAGAAGUUUUUUUGACUCAAUGGAAGAACAUAGUCAGAAAAAUGCUGAUGAAUGUCUUGCUUGAGGUGUGGAUGCAACUGCUUCACCUCUGAUGCUCACAGGCAAUGUGUAUUGGAAGAGAUUUUUCAAUGUUCUUCGCCCAGCAUACACUCUUCCAACCAGACAUGCUUUAUCUACUAAUUUGCUGGAUGCAGAUUUCAACAGAGUUCAAGUGAAGGUCAGGCAGAUCAUAGAGAAAGCAGACUGUAUUGCAAUCAUCUCUGAUGGGUGGUCAAAUGUUCAUGGGCAAGGAAUAAUUAAUUAUAUCAUCUCCACCCCAUAACCAGUAUUCCACAAGAGCACAGACACAAGGGACAAAAGACACACUGGUCUCUACAUUGCAGAUGAGCUGAAGGCAGUCAGACAGACAAUUCUGUGAACAUGAAGGCUGCUUGGUCUAAAGUGGAGGAGUCUUACCCUCAAAUCACACCCAUUGGCUAUGCUGCUCAUGCAUUGAAUCUGAUCCUCAAGGACAUCAUGGCACUGAAAACAAUGGAUACACUCUACAAGAUAGCCAAGGAAAUGGUUAGGUAUGUGAAGUGUCAUCAAGUUAUAUCAGCAAUCUACCGCACCAAGCAAAGUGAGAAGAAUAAGAGCACCACAUUGAAGCUGCCCAGCAACACCCGUUGGGGGUGUUGUUGUCAUCAUGUUUGACAGUCUCCUGGAGGAGAAGGAGUCUCUCCAAGAAAUGGCCAUUUCACAGUCUGCCGAUAUGGACAGCCCCAUCAAGAGGAUCCUCCUGGAUGAUGUAUUUUGGGAGAGAGUGGUAAGCAGCCUGAAACUCCUGAACCCUAUAGCAGUAGCCAUUACACGGAUUGAGGGAGACAAUGCCAUCCUGUCUUGUGUUCAGACUCUGCUUGCAUAUGUAAGAGAAGAAAUCCGUACUGUCCUGCCCACUUCACUGUUGCUCCAAGCAAAGGAAACUGCAGUUCUGAAAUACAUCAAAAAGCGUGAAGACUUCUGCCUGAAGCCCAUACACGCCACAGUGUACAUGUUGUUGGACCCUAAGUAUGCUGGCAAGAGCAUCCUGUUUGGUGCAAAGAUCAACAUGGCAUAUAGUGUCACCACUAUCGUGUCUCACCACCUUGGCCUGCAAGUAUGGCAGUUGUGCCAACAUAUCUCAUCAGCCACCUGGUGGAAGGGACUUGUUGGAUUUGAGGCUCUUUCCCCUGUUGCCUCCAUCAUCCUCCAAAUCCCACCAACAUCAGCCACCUCAGAGCGCAACUGGUCCUUGUUUGGGAACACACACACCAAAGCACGCAACAGGCUGGCCAAUAAAAGUGUUGGCCAUCUGGGCAAAUUUGAGGCUUUUUGAGCCUGACAACGAGCCAUCCUUAACAAGGUUGGAAAGUUACAGUGAAGAUGAGGCCUCAGAGUCUGAUGUUGAAGACGUGGACAUUGAGGAAGUCCAGGGAGAAGACAUGGAAGCCCGAGGGGAAGACACCCAAAGCUUUAGUUUCUUGACAAUCAUUUGUUGGAAACGUUUUUGGGAGAUGCGAUGGAUCAUUGGGGAUCAUUCAAUAUUCCCUUUCUUUUGUUGUUCAGUGAAAUCAUCCCAUGUCAACUCAUUUAAUUAAAGUCCAAUUCGUAACUAAAUAGUUUAAAAAAAAUUCUAUUGGAAGAAUUUAAUAAUUUGCAAUUAUGUCUACUUAUGACGAGGUAAAAUGUUUGUUUCCGUCUCCAUAUGAUAUGGUAAAUAUUUCCAAUGCAAAAAACAUCUACAUUUAAAUGGUAUUAAUAUUAAUUUGUAUAUAUUUCCGUGAAUUCCAAUAUAUUCCUGUUAAUUCCCAUAUAUUCCCGUUAAUUCCCACAGAAAGUUUCCACUUCUGAAUUUUCCCCAAAAUGUGCAAACCUACUUGUAUUUUUCUGAUGUUCACGAUGUCACGCCCUGCCCUUAGAGAGCCAUUUUAUUUCUCUAUUUGGUUAGGUCAGGGUGUGAUGUGGGGUGGGCAUUCUAUGUUCUAUUUUCUAUGUUUUGUAUUUCUUUGUUUUGGCCGGGUAUGGUUCUUAAUCAGGGACAGCUGUAAAAUCGUUGUCUCUGAUUGGGAACCAUACUUAGGCAGCCCUUUUUCCCACCUGUCUUUGUGGGUAGUUAACUUUGUUUGUGACACAUAGCCCUUAAACUUCGUGGUUGUGUUUGUAUUGUUUAUUGUUUUUGUCGGCGUCAUCCUAUAAAAGGAAUAUGUACACUCA